rnacentral:rRNA from 1 species
GAUGAACGCUGGCGGCGUGCCUAAUACAUGCAAGUCGAGCGAACGGACGAGAAGCUUGCUUCUCUGAUGUUAGCGGCGGACGGGUGAGUAACACGUGGAUAACCUACCUAUAAGACUGGGAUAACUUCGGGAAACCGGAGCUAAUACCGGAUGAUAUUUUGAACCGCAUGGUUCAAAAGUGAAAGACGGUCUUGCUGUCACUUAUAGAUGGAUCCGCGCUGCAUUAGCUAGUUGGUAAGGUAACGGCUUACCAAGGCAACGAUGCAUAGCCGACCUGAGAGGGUGAUCGCCCACACUGGAACUGAGACAGGGUCAAGACUCCUACGGGAGGCAGCAGUAGGGAAUCUUCCGCAAUGGGCGAAAGCCUGACGGAACAACGCCGCGUGAGUGAUGAAGGUCUUCGGAUCGUAAAACUCUGUUAUUAGGGAAGAACAUAUGUGUAAGUAACUGUGCACAUCUUGACGGUACCUAAUCAGAAAGCCACGGCUAACUACGUG